rnacentral:rRNA from 1 species
UGGGGAAUAUUGGACAAUGGGGGGAACCCUGAUCCAGCCAUGCCGCGUGUGUGAAGAAGGCCUUAUGGUUGUAAAGCACUUUAAGCGAGGAGGAGGCUCUCUUGGUUAAUACCCAAGAAGAGUGGACGUUCCUCGCAGAAUAAGCACCGGCUACCCCUGUGCCAGCAGCCGCGGUAAUACAGAGGGUGCGAGCGUUAAUCGGAUUUACUGGGCGUAAAGCGUGCGUAGGCGGCUUUUUAAGUCGGAUGUGAAAUCCCCGAGCUUAACUUGGGAAUUGCAUUCGAUACCGAGAAGCUAGAGUAUGGGAGAGGAUGGUAGAAUCCCAGGUGUAGCGGUGAAAUGCGUAGAGAUCUGGAGGAAUACCGAUGGCGAAGGCAGCCAUCUGGCCUAAUACUGACGCUGAUGUACGAAAGCAUGGGGAGCAAACAGG